rnacentral:rRNA from 1 species
AUUGAACGCUGGCGGCAUGCCUUACACAUGCAAGUCGAACGGCAGCACGGGUGCUUGUACCUGGUGGCGAGUGGCGAACGGGUGAGUAAUACAUCGGAACAUGUCCUGUAGUGGGGGAUAGCCCGGCGAAAGCCGGAUUAAUACCGCAUACGAUCCACGGAUGAAAGCGGGGGACCUUCGGGCCUCGCGCUAUAGGGUUGGCCGAUGGCUGAUUAGCUAGUUGGUGGGGUAAAGGCCUACCAAGGCGACGAUCAGUAGCUGGUCUGAGAGGACGACCAGCCACACUGGGACUGAGACACGGCCCAGACUCCUACGGGAGGCAGCAGUGGGGAAUUUUGGACAAUGGGCGAAAGCCUGAUCCAGCAAUGCCGCGUGUGUGAAGAAGGCCUUCGGGUUGUAAAGCACUUUUGUCCGGAAAGAAAUCCUUGACUCUAAUACAGUCGGGGGAUGACGGUACCGGAAGAAUAAGCACCGGCUAACUACGUG